GACGAACGCUGGCGGCGUGCUUAACACAUGCAAGUCGAACGGGGCGAAGUGAUAGCUUGCUAUUAUGGAGCCUAGUGGCAAACGGGUGAGUAACGCGUAGGCAACCUGCCCUUCAGAUGGGGACAACACCUCGAAAGGGGGUGCUAAUACCGAAUGACGUUUCCUAGUCGCAUGACCUGGAAACCAAAGGCUGGGCAACCGGUCACUGAAGGAUGGGCCUGCGUCUGAUUAGCUAGUUGGUGGGGUAACGGCCGACCAAGGCGACGAUCAGUAGCCGGUCUGAGAGGAUGAACGGCCACAUUGGGACUGAGACACGGCCCAAACUCCUACGGGAGGCAGCAGUGGGGAAUCUUCCGCAAUGGGCGCAAGCCUGACGGAGCAACGCCGCGUGAGUGAAGAAGGUUUUCGGAUCGUAAAGCCCUGUCUUUUGGGACGAUAAUGACGGUACCAAAGGAGGAAGCCACGGCUAACUACGUG
rnacentral:rRNA from 1 species